GAUAGUUUAUGAUAAAUUAUGAGAAUGAUUCAGGGAGUGACUGCAAGAUCAAAUCCUGACUCAUCUCACCAUCUAUAGCAAAAUCCAAUUAUCUUAGAUGAGUGAUCAAAUCACUCAUCUUCAGGACAUGGGUCUGCAUGGAGUUGCCUUCACUUAUCCUAACAUGAAAUAACUACUUAGAUAUCUUAUAUCUAGUAGUUUGACUUUAUUCUCCAUAUAACUCCUUUAAGUUAAGGAGUAUGUAAGGAAUAUCUAUACCUUCAUGUUACAUCUGAAGCUCAUUACUCAUAGAGGCAAGCAUGAUGCACUUCACAGAUACACUGCCAUCUUGCCACAUCUUGUAUAUAGCCCUUUCUUCUUUAGUAGCAUCUUCACCGAUCAUGUCGGGUGUAGAGGUAUCCAGAAUAUAGGAGACUUUCUCCUGUGUGAGAAUAAUUCUCAGAUUUCUCAACCAGUCUAUAUAAUUUGAUUCGGUCAACUUGUUGGCAUCAAGUAUGCCACGUAGUGAAAGUGAGGAUACCAUUAUACAGAUUAAUCUAUAAAUACAAAAAUAUAAUAUAAGUGGAUAACUCAUGAUGACAUGUACAACUAGAUUAGAACUUUUGUCUAAUUAUGUCUCUCACUUUUUAACGAAUUUUCUAGCCCUCAAGUAUGAAAAUGAGAAAUAUGAUCAUGUUUCUAAGUGGGGUUGAGAUCUCUAUUCCUCACAAACACCUUGUGG
rnacentral:lncRNA from 1 species